GCCUACGGGAGGCAGCAGUGGGGAAUAUUGGGCAAUGGGCGCAAGCCUGACCCAGCAACGCCGCGUGAAGGAAGAAGGCUUUCGGGUUGUAAACCUCUUUUGUCAGGGAGCAAUUGGCGCUACGUGUAGCGUUAUCGAGAGUACCUGAAGAAAAAGCAUCGGCUAACUCCGUGCCAGCAGCCGCGGUAAUACGGAAGAUGCGAGCGUUAUCCGGAUUUAUUGGGUUUAAAGGGUGCGUAGGCGGACUGCCAAGUCAGCGGUAAAAUCGCGGGGCUCAACCUCGCUCCGCCGUUGAAACUGGCGUU
rnacentral:rRNA from 1 species